rnacentral:lncRNA from 1 species
AAAACCCUAAACGAGAGGGUAUUGCAGCAUCGGGGGCCGCCACAUGGUUAAGCACGGCCGUGGCGGCGUCGGCCCUUGUUCACGAGAGCUGCCAACGUCGGCCUUUGUGCUGGCCACGCGACGGAGCCCAAACAAAUACUGCUUUUGCGUUGUGUCCGCAGCUCGAUCUUUCCAGUCGGUUAUACCGGAAUUCUCCACCCGCCUACGCGACUGACGUGCAGCGGCCAUAUUCUAACAUCCGACGAUGCGAGCACUAGAGCGCAGCUCGCUUUGCUUUCCCCACAGUCUCAUUUUCGGGAAAAAGGAGCGCACACGAUCGGCGCCACCCUCCCCGCCCUAUAAAUCCGGCAAUGCUCGAAGCAGCCCCCAAGCAGCUCCGCAGCGAUCGUCGCGAGCUCCAGCGGUCGCCAUUCCCGGACGCCGGAAGCCCUCUCUCGGGAUGGCGGCGGGCACUCGGGGCGCCGUCUUCCUCGCCUGCUUCCGCGGCGGCGGCGCCGAGGGGAGCGGCCACCGCCUCGCGCUGCGGCCGCGGUACCCGCCCAUGCCGNNNNNN